rnacentral:tRNA from 1 species
AAAAAGAUAAGCUAAUCAAGCUAUAGGGUUCAUACCCCUUCCAUAAAGGUUAUACUCCUUUUCUUUUUA